AAGAGACAGAGAAGUGAUCAGACAAAUGGGAGAAGAACCUAGAGAGAGCAGUCAACUAUCUUCUAAGGGCUGUUCUGAAACUCCUAAUGAAACCAGGGAUCUCUGGAACUCAGAGGAUUCAUACUGCAGCCAGAAUACUGGUAGCCAUUACAUCUGGAAAGGAUUUGGGCAGACAGUCAUAGAUAACCUUCAAAGCAAAAUCUGAUAAGGGGUGCCUGCUUUACUAGAGCCAGAAAGAAACCUCUGAUAUUAGAAUUCAUGGCCCAUUUAAUGCCUGAAGUUUAAUCUGAAGGAGGUAGACAUAAGGCGCUUUCUUCAGGGUCUCCUCUGCUUAGAUGGAAAAGCAGAAGCAUGCUUGAAUGGUUGGAUCUCCAAUUUGGAGUCAAUAGCAUCCAAGUCCUGAUGCCACCUUAGACACUGGCUGUAUGACUGAACAAGUCAUUUAAACUC